AUCAAUUUUUAUUUUCUGAUCUCAUUCAUAAAAAACCAUUUUCUUUUAUAUUCAAAUAUUCAAGAAUAAUUGAUAAAUGAAUAGUUAACGGUUGCGAUUUGUAUCAAGAUUUUUUUUCAAUUUUUCAAUAGAAAAGGGGGGAGUAUUCUCAAAANCGGGGGACUGCAAAUCCUUUUUCCCCAGUUCAAAUCCGGGUGUCGCCUGAUUGAUAAGAAACUUGAAAUGAAAGAUUAUAUUACUUUUUUUUAUAAAACUUUUUUUCUAACANAAGCAAGAAAGGAGUCUUGAGAAUUGCGUUUGAUUCUAAAUUAUAAGCAUCAGUAGCUUUGUUUGUUCUAAAAAAUGUUGUAAAUUUUUUCGUCUCGGAUUCAAGGAAAGAUUC
rnacentral:lncRNA from 1 species